rnacentral:rRNA from 1 species
GAGUUUGAUCGUGGCUCAGAACGAACGCUGGCGGCAUGCCUAACACAUGCAAGUCGAACGAGACCUUCGGGUCUAGUGGCGCACGGGUGCGUAACGCGUGGGAAUCUGCCCUUUGCUUCGGAAUAACUCAGGGAAACUUGAGCUAAUACCGGAUAAUGUCGCAAGACCAAAGAUUUAUCGGCAAAGGAUGAGCCCGCGUAGGAUUAGCUUGUUGGUGGGGUAAUGGCCUACCAAGGCGACGAUCCUUAGCUGGUCUGAGAGGAUGAUCAGCCACACUGGGACUGAGACACGGCCCAGACUCCUACGGGAGGCAGCAGUGGGGAAUAUUGGACAAUGGGCGAAAGCCUGAUCCAGCAAUGCCGCGUGAGUGAUGAAGGCCCUAGGGUUGUAAAGCUCUUUUACCAGGGAUGAUAAUGACAGUACCUGGAGAAUAAGCUCCGGCUAAACUCCGUGCCAGCCGCCGCUGUACC